CAGCUCCUACGGGAGGCAGCAGUAGGGAAUUUUCGUCAAUGGGCGCAAGCCUGAACGAGCGAUGCCGCGUGAAUGAAGAAGGCCUUCGGGUUGUAAAAUUCUGUUAUAAGGGAAGAAAGGUGAUAGGAGGAAAUGACUAUCAAUUGACGGUACCUUAUGAGAAAGCCACGGCUAACUACGUGCCAGCAGCCGCGGUAAUACGUAGGUGGCAAGCGUUAUCCGGAAUUAUUGGGCGUAAAGAGCGCGCAGGUGGUUAAUUAAGUCUGAUGUGAAAGCCCACGGCUUAACCGUGGAGGUUCAUUGGA
rnacentral:rRNA from 1 species